UACGGGGGGGGCAAGCGUUGUUCGGAAUUACUGGGCGUAAAGGGCUCGUAGGCGGCCAACUAAGUCAUACGUGAAAUCCCUCGGCUUAACCGGGGAACUGCGUCUGAUACUGGAUGGCUUGAGUUCGGGAGAGGGAUGCGGAAUUCCAGGUGUAGCGGUGAAAUGCGUAGAUAUCAAGAGGAACACCUGCGGCGAAGGCGGGUUGCUGGGCCGACACUGACGCUGAAGCGCGAAAGCUAGGGGAGCGAACGGG
rnacentral:rRNA from 1 species